CCAAUAGCGUAUAUUAGUGUUGUUGCGGUUAAAACGCUCGUAGUUGAAUUUCGGGAUUGGGAUAUAUCGGUCGUGCCUUUAGGGGCAUGAAUCGGUGUGUGGCCAAUUCUCACCUUCUGGUGAAUUGGGAUGCUCUCGGGUGUUUCAAUGAACUAGGACUUUUACUUUGAAAAAAUUAGAGUGUUUAAAGCGGGCAUUUUUGCUUGAAUACGUUAGCAUGGAAUAAUAAAAUAGGACGAUGGUUCUAUUUUGUUGGUUUUAGGACCACGUAAUGAUUAAUAGGGAUAGUUGGGGGCAUUAGUAUUCAAUUGUCAGAGGUGAAAUUCUUGGAUUUAUUGAGGACUAACUAUUGCGAAAGCAUUUGCCAAGGAUGUUUUCAUUAAUCAAGAACGAAAGUUAGGGGAUCAAAGACGAUUUAUGUACGUCGUAGUCUUAACCAUAAACUAUGCCGACUAGGAAUCAGACAAAGUUAAUUUUUUAACGACUUGUUUGGUACCUUACG
rnacentral:rRNA from 1 species